rnacentral:rRNA from 1 species
AAUGAACGCUGGCGGCGCGCCUAAUACAUGCAAGUCGAGCGAGAAGACGUAGCAAUACGUUUGUAAAGCGGCGAACGGGUGAGGAAUACAUGGGUAACCUACCCUCGAGUGGGGAAUAACUAGCCGAAAGGUUAGCUAAUACCGCGUACGCUCCUUGGACUUCGGUUCAGGGAGGAAAGCGAUACCGUGGGUAUCGCGCUCUUGGUUGGGCUCAUGUCCUAUCAGCUUGUUGGUGAGGUAACGGCUCACCAAGGCUUCGACGGGUAGCUGGUCUGAGAGACGAUCAGCCACACUGGCACUGCGACACGGGCCAGACUCCUACGGGAGGCAGCAGUAAGGAAUAUUGCGCAAUGGGCGAAAGCCUGACGCAGCGACGCCGCGUGGGGGAUGAAGGUCUUCGG